rnacentral:lncRNA from 1 species
CCACAGAAUCUCAGGUACAGGUAGAAAUGAGAUGGGUGUUUCAGUUCAUAAUGCAUGUGAUUAUUUUCUACAUAGGAUUGGUGGGUGGGACUCAAAGAGGGAGAGUUAGCUCUUGGGAGGAGAUAAAGUGACAUUAUAGAUAAGACAAUAUAGCCAGGGAGAGAAGACAGAAAGGCAUGAUGGGAGACUCAUGAGCAGAAGCAGAGGAGAGGACUGAAAUAAUUACAUCUGAGGAAGGUGAAGAAUUACAUGAUGAAGAUUCUGGUCUGUGUGCCACGAAAUUCCUCCCAGCUGGCAAGGUCAGACUCUGAAAACAAAACAAAAUCUCUAGUUGAUGAGAAAGAUUGGUCCAGAAAAUGACAGGAUGCAAGCUUUGUAGUUUGGGGGUGUUGCCAUGGUUACCUUGAUCCAAGCACUAUUCCGGGAGCUAUAGGCAUAGCUAGAGUCAAGGCUGAGAUAUCUCCCUUGCAUGGUGUUUCCGUAUUUGUCGGUGGAGACAUGGCCAGUGUCCAGCCUGGAAAGCAGUGAGAGGUGGAACUUUGCACAGAAGUUAGAUCUGGACCCAGGACCAGAAGAGAACGAGGAGCUACUACUCAAGUUCCAGAGUCAGUGGCGAGAGUUUGGAGAUAUGGAAAUGAAAGAAAGAAUGACAGAUGAUGGUGGGACCCUGUACGCAGCCUUGAGACCCUCUGCAAGGCAAUGAGAUAGCUCAGACAGCCACAGAACACUGCAGAAGAUGUGAGACCUGAAGACUGUGAUGAGAUCCACAGAUAACUCUGGAACUCUCAAUACAGCUGUGGGACCAGUAGAUAGUCUUGAGAUACUUCAGAUGACCGUGGAACCAACCAACCAACAACCCUAAGACCUUGGGACCCUGAAGACAGUGAUGAGACUCUGCAGAUGGCCAUGGGACCCUGUAGGAAGUCAUAAGACCCUGCAGACAACCAUGAGACUCUGCAAAAGGUCAUCAGACUGUGGAGAUGGCAAUGAGGCCUUGCAAAUGGUUGUGAGACCCUGCAUAUAGCCAAGAAUCUCUGCAGAAUGUCAUGAGACCACCCUGCAAAUGCCAUGAGACUACCCUGCAGACGAUCAUGAGACCAUCCUGAAGAUGGUCAUGAGACCAUGCAGAAGCCAUGAACUCUUGCAGUUGGUGAUGGUGAUAGUGAUGGCCCUGGUUGACCAUGCAGUUCAUCAUUGUACGGACAUUGCCUAUCGUACCCCUUAUUCUUGCAGAAACCUUGGAAAACAUGUGACAGUUCAAUGGGGAAUGCUGAAACACCUUGUCAUCAUGUCACCGAAGACACAGGAUGACCAUUCCCUAUCCCAACCAUUUGGUGCAGACAUACAAGUAUUCUCCACUGAUUGCCUUAGUUCUCAAAAUUAAUAUUCUAUGAUUAUUUCAAGCAUUUGUUCUCUGAAAUAUAUGGAAUAUGAUUAACAUGAUCCCUAAUGUUUAGCUCUUCUUCAGUUCUUAGAAAUACAAUUUACCUGAAGGACUGGAAACACAACAGAGAGACCUCAAGGGUGUUGGGCUUCUGGUUGCAACUUUGUGCUGGCAAAGUUCACCCAGAAUUCUGCUACUGCAAACACCUUGAUAUGCUGAAUAAAAAUAGAAGACGCCUCACUCCAAGGAAGGGACCAGAUUCCAGAACCGAAGCCAGCCCUGUGGCAGUGAAUGGGAGCAGCUGAUUAGUGGAGGGCACUGGCGGUUGGAAUCAGCGCCAGCCCAGACACACAAGGACAGAGGAAGAGCUGAACCUAUUUGACCCGUCUUAACCCGAGAUCUUGACCUGUCAGUAUCCUCACAGAAAAGGCAGCAGCACGCUCUAUCUGAGUUUCCUCUUAAAGGGACACAGCCAAAGAAGCAAGACAAAUUACCCCUUUCUCAGGAAGACAGUGGAAGAUUCUCUAUGUUCUGGGAAGAAAACAGAGUCAGCCUAGAAUGCUGAUGCAGAGACACAGCGAGGGCAUGCCAGUGCACUUUUGGACAAGUGCUAGUGUGCUGCAGGAAAUGUUAGUUGAUGGAAAGUCUGAAAACUUCAUGAAGAAGAGGGGCCUGCUCCGUGGAGGGCCUGAGAUGAAAGAAAGGCACUGAAGGAACAAAGUCAAAUGUGUGCUGAUUUAAAUGAAGGCCGAGCAUACGGAGCAGGAGCACGGGCCUCUUGGGACUAACCUGAGGCUGUAGAAGUUGUCGCAAUGUCCUGGGUGUCUCUAAAGACUUAUAAAGAGCGCAUGCUUGUAAAGAAAUGAACGAAAGAGAACAGGUCACCGAGCACAUAGCCAGCUAAUGAAUGGGAAAGUGUGAAGAACUUCAGACCGCACCAGAAUGAAAAGGCACAGCCUGAGGAUGGCAGGCAGGAAUGUCAGGUUUUAGCAGAACUCCCGACAAUCAUUGUGUUCUGUUGGUCCCCAUGCCCACCUGGUCCUGCCAAGCCUUCCCGUAUCUGCAAUGGGAAUAUCUGAACCAGAAGAAAACUGGAAAUCAUUUCAAGGAAGUAUGUAUCAAGUGGAGGCAGAUGCCAGAGUGUCAGAACACAGCUUACGACCCUGGUGCAGGUGUGUACCUCAUCUGCAGGGCUUUCCUACCAUGUCACCAGUGGGGAAGAUGGAAUGGUCACUAGGAUCCAUCUUAUGUUUACACUGAGUGUAUGACUCAGCCUGCAGAUCGUCCAGUGACAUGUUUUCUCAAACUUCAGGACAGUGGCAACAGGGGCAAGACACCUCUGCCUUGUGACGGAUCUGGGGGA